rnacentral:rRNA from 1 species
UUCAUGAUUCAGACCUUGGUGAGUGGCGGACGGGUGAGUAACACGUGGGUAACCUGCCCAGAAGUGGGGGAUAACAUUUGGAAACAAGUGCUAAUACCGCAUAACAACUUAGAUCACAUGAUCUUUGUUUAAAAGAUGGUUUUGCUAUCUCUUCUGGAUGGACCCGCGGCGUAUUAGCUAGUUGGUGAGGUAAUAGCUCACCAAGGCGAUGAUACGUAGCCGACCUGAGAGGGUAAUCGGCCACAUUGGGACUGAGACACGGCCCAGACUCC